UCGAGCGAAUUGAUGAGAAGCUUGCUUCUCUGAAGUUAGCGGCGGACGGGUGAGUAACACGUGGGCAACCUGCCCUAUAGUUUGGGAUAACUCCGGGAAACCGGGGCUAAUACCGAAUAAUACAUUUUAACUCCUGUUAGAAUGUUGAAAGAUGGUUUACGCUAUCGCUAUAGGAUGGGCCCGCGGCGCAUUAGCUAGUAGGUGAGGUAACGGCUCACCAAGGCGACGAUGCGUAGCCGACCUGAGAGGGUGAUCGGCCACAUUGGGACUGAGACACGGCCCAAACUCCUACGGGAGGCAGCAGUGGG
rnacentral:sRNA from 1 species